GACGAACGCUGGCGGCGUGCCUAAUACAUGCAAGUAGAACGCUGAAGAGAGGAGCUUACUCUUCUUGGAUGAGUUGCGAACGGGUGAGUAACGCGUAGGUAACCUGCCUUGUAGCGGGGGAUAACUAUUGGAAACGAUAGCUAAUACCGCAUAACAAUGGCUGACACAUGUCAUUUAUUUGAAAGGGGCAAUUGCUCCACUACAAGAUGGACCUGCGUUGUAUUAGCUAGUAGGUGAGGUAAUGGCUCACCUAGGCGACGAUACAUAGCCGACCUGAGAGGGUGAUCGGCCACACUGGGACUGAGACACGGCCCAGACUCCUACGGGAGGCAGCAGUAGGGAAUCUUCGGCAAUGGGGGCAACCCUGACCGAGCAACGCCGCGUGAGUGAAGAAGGUUUUCGGAUCGUAAAGCUCUGUUGUAAGUCAAGAACGGGUGUGAGAGUGGAAAGUUCACACUGUGACGGUAGCUUACCAGAAAGGGACGGCUAACUACGUG
rnacentral:rRNA from 1 species